rnacentral:rRNA from 1 species
UACGGGAGGCAGCAGUGGGGAAUAUUGCACAAUGGGGGAAACCCUGAUGCAGCCAUGCCGCGUGUGUGAAGAAGGCCUUCGGGUUGUAAAGCACUUUCAGCGAGGAGGAAAGGUCAGUAGCUAAUAUCUGCUGACUGUGACGUUACUCGCAGAAGAAGCACCGGCUAACUCCGUGCCAGCAGCCGCGGUAAU